rnacentral:rRNA from 1 species
GACGAACGCUGGCGGCGUGCUUAACACAUGCAAGUCGAACGGAAAGGCCCUGCUUUUGUGGGGUGCUCGAGUGGCGAACGGGUGAGCAACACGUGAGUAACCUGCCCUUGACUUUGGGAUAACUUCAGGAAACUGGGGCUAAUACCGGAUAGGAGCUCCUGCUGCAUGGUGGGGGUUGGAAAGUUUCGGCGGUUGGGGAUGGACUCGCGGCUUAUCAACUUGUUGGUGGGGUAGUGGCUUACCAAGGCUUUGACGGGUAGCCGGCCUGAGAGGGUGACCGGCCACAUUGGGACUGAGAUACGGCCCAGACUCCUACGGGAGGCAGCAGUGGGGAAUAUUGCACAAUGGGCGGAAGCCUGAUGCAGCAACGCCGCGUGCGGGAUGACGGCCUUCGGGUCGUAAACCGCUUUCGCCUGUGACGAAGCGUGAGUGACGGUAAUGGGUAAAGAAGCACCGGCUAACUACGUG